CAGCAGCCACGGGAAUACGUAGGGUGCAAGCGUUAAUCGGAAUUACUGGGCGUAAAGCGUGCGUAGGCGGUGAGUUAAGUCUGUUGUGAAAGCCCCGGGCUCAACCUGGGAAUGGCAAUGGAUACUGGCGAGCUAGAGUGUGUCAGAGGAUGGUGGAAUUCCCGGUGUAGCGGUGAAAUGCGUAGAGAUCGGGAGGAACAUCAGUGGCGAAGGCGGCCAUCUGGGACAACACUGACGCUGAGGCACGAAAGCGUGGGGAGCGAACGGGAUUAGAUACCCGAGUAGUCCCUGUCUCUUAUAC
rnacentral:rRNA from 1 species